UGGGGAAUUUUGGACAAUGGGCGAAAGCCUGAUCCAGCAAUGCCGCGUGUGUGAAGAAGGCCUUCGGGUUGUAAAGCACUUUUGUCCGGAAAGAAAUGGCUCUGGUUAAUACCUGGGGUCGAUGACGGUGCCGGAAGAAUAAGGACCGGCUAACUACGUGCCAGCAGCCGCGGUAAUACGUAGGGUCCAAGCGUUAAUCGGAAUUACUGGGCGUAAAGCGUGCGCAGGCGGUUGUGCAAGACCGAUGUGAAAUCCCGAGCUUAACUUGGGAAUUGCAUUGGUGACUGCACGGCUAGAGUGUGUCAGAGGGGGGUAGAAUUCCACGUGUAGCAGUGAAAUGCGUAGAGAUGUGGAGGAAUACCGAUGGCGAAGGCAGCCCCCUGGGAUAACACUGACGCUCAUGCACGAAAGCGUGGGGAGCAAACAGGAUUAGAUACCCUGGUAGUCCACGCCCUAAACGGUGUCAACUAGUUGUUGGGGAUUCAUUUCCUUAGUAACGUAGCUAACGCGUGAAG
rnacentral:rRNA from 1 species